rnacentral:rRNA from 1 species
GCGUGGAGACAGGUGGGGCAUGGCUGUCGUCAGCUCGUGUCGUGAGAUGUUGGGUUAAGUCCCGCAACGAGCGCAACCCUCGCCCCUGGUUGCCACCGGGUAAAGCCGAGCACUCGAGGGGAACUGCCAGCGUCAAGCUGGAGGAAGGCGGGGAUGACGUCAAGUCAUCAUGCCCCUUACGCCCUGGGCUACACACGUGCUACAAUGGCCGGUACAAAGGGACGCGAGACCGCGAGGUGGAGCUAAUCCCAAAAAACCGGUCUAAAGUUCAGAUUGCAGUCUGCAACUCGACUGCAUGAAGGAGGAAUCGCUAGUAAUCGCGCAUCAGCACGGCGCGGUGAAUACGUUCCCGGGCCUUGUACACACCGCCCGUCACACCACGAAAGCUGUCUGUACUCGAAGUCGCUGAG